UCGGAUCGCAGGCUGCAACCCGCCUGCGUGAAGUUGGAAUCGCUAGUAAUCGCGGAUCAGCAUGCCGCGGUGAAUACGUUCCCGGGCCUUGUACACACCGCCCGUCACACCAUGAGAGUCGGGAACACCCGAAGUCCGUAGCCUAACCGCAAGGGGGCGCGGCCGAAGGUGGGUUCGAUAAUUGGGGUGAAGUCGUAACAAGGUAUC
rnacentral:rRNA from 1 species